GUGCCGCCGCCGCGGUAAUAUCGGCAGCACGAGUGAUGGCCGAUUUUAUUGGGCCUAAAGCGUUCGUAGCCGGCCGGACAAGUCCGUUGGGAAAUCCACGCGCUCAACGCGUGGGCGUCCAGCGGAAACUAUCCGGCUUGGGGCCGGAAGACUCGAGGGGUACGUCCGGGGUAGGAGUGAAAUCCCAUAAUCCCGCACGGACCACCGAUGGCGAAAGCACUUCGAGAAAACGGAUCCGACAGUGAGGGACGAAAGCCAGGGUCUCCAACCGGAUUAGAUACCCGUGUAGUCC
rnacentral:rRNA from 1 species